AUGGAGCUAGCUCAAAUGGCAGAAACCACACCCGUUCAGCUCGUCUGCUACAGUCUGCUCUGCGUCCUUGUCGUCACCAUAGUCCUCAAGCUCAAGCUCAAGAUCAGACCAGACUCUGCCGGCCGUCUGAACCUGCCUCCCGGCCCAUGGGCGCUGCCGGUGAUCGGCCACAUGCACUUCCUGCUGGGCGCCCUGCCGCACCAGGCCAUGCGCAGUCUCGCCCGGCGGCAUGGGCCCGUCAUGCUCCUCCGCCUGGGCCACGUCCCGACGCUGGUGCUCUCCUCCUCGGAGGCGGCAAGGGAGGUGAUGAAGGUCCAUGACGCCGCCUUCGCCAACCGGCCCGUGUACGCCACCGCGGACGUCCUCACCUACGGAGGGCAGAACAUCUCCUUCGCACGCCUCGACAGCCGGCACUGGAAGACCGCCCGGAAGCUGUGCAGCGUGGAGCUGCUCAGCCCGAGGCGCGUCCGCUCCUUCCGCCCCAUCCGGGAGGAGGAGGCGGCGAGGCUCGUGCGGUCCGUCGUCGCUGAUGCCGGCACCGCGGCCGCCGUCAACGUCAGCGAGAGGGUGAAGGUGAUGAUGAACGACGUCAUCAUGAGGGUCUCCGUCGGCGACCGGUGCCAGCAGCGGGAGCUGUACCUGGAGGAGCUGGACAGGGGGCUGGGCGUCUUGUCCGGGUUCAACCUGACCGACCUGUUCCCGACGUCGCGCCUGGCACGGGCGCUCGGCGGUAGGUCCCUGAGGGCGGCAUGGGAGGUGCGCGAGAGGAUCCAGUCCAUCUUGGACGCCAUGGUCGAGGACCACAAGAGGGCGAUGGAGAGCGAGGAAGCCACUGCCGCCGGCGCCGGCCAUGAGAACGAGGACAUCCUCACCACCCUGCUGCGGUUCCAGACGGACGGUGGGAUGGGCGGCAUCGCCCUCACGAACGAGAAUGUCAACGGCAUCUUGUUCGACAUUUUCUCCGCCGGGUCAGAGACGACGGCGACGACCACCGUCUGGGCCAUGUCGGAGCUUAUCAGGAACCCACGGACAAUGGCCAUCGCACAGUCUGAAGUGCGGCGAGUGCUCCAAGGCAAGACCAAGGUGGCCGAGGCGGACAUCGACGGCCAGCUCCACUACCUCCAGAUGGUAAUCAAGGAGACCUUCAGGUUGCACCCUCCGGUGCCGUUGCUCCUCCCGAGGCUGUGCACGGAACAGAAAAAAAUCAUGGGCUACGACGUGCCUCCGGGCACCACGGUGUUUGCAAACGUGUGGGCCAUCGGCAAGGACGAGAAGAGCUGGACCGACGCGAGCGAGUUCAAGCCCGAGAGGUUCGAGGUCGAGAAGGUGGACUACGGUGGUACCGACUUCAGGUUCCUCCCUGGUGGCGCCGGUCGAAGGAUGUGCCCUGGUAUGAUGUUUGGUGUGUCCAACAUGGAGAUUGCUCUCGCGAGCCUUCUCUAUCACUUCGACUGGAGGCUCCCCGAUGGUGCGAGUCCGGAGAAGCUUGAUAUGACCGAGGCAUAUGGGAUCACGGCGCGUCGGAAGACUAACCUCUUGUUGGAAGCUACUGUUUUUGUGCCUUAG
rnacentral:rRNA from 1 species